GUGGGGAAUUUUGGACAAUGGGCGAAAGCCUGAUCUAGCAAUGCCGCGUGUGUGAAGAAGGCCUUCGGGUUGUAAAGCACUUUUGUCCGGAAAGAAAUCCUUUGGGUUAAUACCUCGGAGGGAUGACGGUACCGGAAGAAUAAGGACCGGCUAACUACGUGCCAGCAGCCGCGGUAAUACGUAGGGUCCGAGCGUUAAUCGGAAUUACUGGGCGUAAAGCGUGCGCAGGCGGUUUUGUAAGACAGAUGUGAAAUCCCCGGGCUUAACCUGGGAAUUGCAUUUGUGACUGCAAGGCUAGAGUGUGUCAGAGGGGGGUAGAAUUCCACGUGUAGCAGUGAAAUGCGUAGAGAUGUGGAGGAAUACCGAUGGCGAAGGCAGCCCCCUGGGAUAACACUGACGCUCAUGCACGAAAGCGUGGGGAGCAAACAGGAUUAGAUACCCUGGUAGUCC
rnacentral:rRNA from 1 species